GAUGAAGAACGUAGCGAAAUGCGAUAAGUAAUGUGAAUUGCAGAAUUCAGUGAAUCAUCGAAUCUUUGAACGCACAUUGCGCCCGCCAGGAUUCUGGCGGGCAUGCCUGUUCGUGCGUCAUUACAACCCUCAGGCCCCCGGGCCUGGCGUUGGGGAUCGGCGGAAGCCCCCUGCGGGCACAACGCCGUCCCCCAAAUACAGUGGCGGUCCCGCCGCAGCUUCCAUUGCGUAGUAGCUAACACCUCGCAACUGGAGAGCGGCGCGGCCACGCCGUAAAACACCCAACUUCUGAAUGUUGACCUCGAAUCAGGUAGGAAUACCCGCUGAACUUAAGCAUAUCAAUAAGCGGAGGA
rnacentral:misc_RNA from 1 species